rnacentral:rRNA from 1 species
UGGGGAAUAUUGCACAAUGGGCGCAAGCCUGAUGCAGCCAUGCCGCGUGUGUGAAGAAGGCCUUCGGGUUGUAAAGCACUUUCAGCGGGGAGGAAGGCGAUAAGGUUAAUAACCUCAUCGAUUGACGUUACCCGCAGAAGAAGCACCGUCUAACUCCGUGCCAGCAGCCGCGGUAAUACGGAGGGUGCAAGCGUUCAUCGGAAUUACUGGGCGUAAAGCGCACGCAGGCGGUCUGUCAAGUCGGAUGUGAAAUCCCCGGGCUCAACCUGGGAACUGCAUUCGAAACUGGCAGGCUAGAGUCUUGUAGAGGGGGGUAGAAUUCCAAGUGUAGCGGUGAAAUGCGUAGAGAUCUGGAGGAAUACCGGUGGCGAAGGCGGCCCCCUGGACAAAGACUGACGCUCAGGUGCGAAAGCGUGGGGAGCAAACAGG